AGCGAACGCUGGCGGCAGGCUUAACACAUGCAAGUCGAACGGGCAUAGCAAUAUGUCAGUGGCAGACGGGUGAGUAACGCGUGGGAACGUACCUUUUGGUUCGGAACAACACAGGGAAACUUGUGCUAAUACCGGAUAAGCCCUUACGGGGAAAGAUUUAUCGCCGAAAGAUCGGCCCGCGUCUGAUUAGCUAGUUGGUAGGGUAAUGGCCUACCAAGGCGACGAUCAGUAGCUGGUCUGAGAGGAUGAUCAGCCACAUUGGGACUGAGACACGGCCCAAACUCCUACGGGCGGCAGCAGUGGGGAAUAUUGGACAAUGGGCGAAAGCCUGAUCCAGCCAUGCCGCGUGAGUGAUGAAGGCCCUAGGGUUGUAAAGCUCUUUUGUGCGGGAAGAUAAUGACGGUACCGCAAGAAUAAGCCCCGGCUAACUUCGUG
rnacentral:rRNA from 1 species